ACUCAAAUGAAUUGACGGGUCCCCGCACAAGCAGCGGAGCGUGUGGUUUAAUUCGAUGCAACGCGAAGAACCUUACCCAGACUUGACAUGGCCCUGAAACCCGUGGAAACACGGUCCCCGCAAGGCAGGGUCACAGAUGUUGCAUGGCUGUCGUCAGCUCGUGUCGUGAGAUGUUGGGUUAAGUCCCGCAACGAGCGCAACCCUCGUGCUGUGUUGCACUUCACAGCAGACUGCCGGUACAAGCCGGAGGAAGGUGGGGAUGACGUCAAGUCCGCAUGGCUCUUACGUCUGGGGCUACACACACGCUACAAUGGCCAGGACAAUGCGUUGCCACCCCGCGAGGGGGAGCAAAUCGCCAAAGCUGGUCUCAGUUCGGAUGGCAGGCUGCAACUCGCCUGCCUGAAGUCGGAGUUGCUAGUAACCGCGUGUCAGCAUAGCGCGGUGAAUACGUUCCCGGGGAUUGCACACACCGCCCGU
rnacentral:rRNA from 1 species